GCUAAGAAUAUUCCGCAAUGGACGAAAGUCUGACGGAGCGACGCCGCGUGGAUGAUGAAGGCCGGAAGGUUGUAAAAUCCUUUUAUGACUGAGGAAUAAGCAGUGUGAGAGAAACGCAUUGUGGUGACUGUAGGUCAUGAAUAAGCAACGGCUAAUUACGUGCCAGCAGCCGCGGUAACACGUAAGUUGCGAGCGUUGUUCGGAAUUAUUGGGCGUAAAGGGCAUGUAGGCGGUUCUGCAAGUCUGGUGUGAAAUACCGGGGCUCAACCCCGGAACUGCGUUGGAAACUGCAGGACUUGAGUCGCUGAGGGGCAGCCAGAAUUCCAGGUGUAGGGGUGAAAUCUGUAGAUAUCUGGAAGAAUACCAAUGGCGAAGGCAGGCUGCCAGCAGAUGACUGACGCUGAGGUGCGAAGGUGCGGGGAGCAAACAGG
rnacentral:rRNA from 1 species